rnacentral:tRNA from 1 species
GUUAGCUUGGCCGAGCGGUUAAGGCGGUAAGCUUGGGAUCUAUUGGGCUAUACCCUCGCAGGUUCGAAUCCUGUAGCUGACG